UGAAUGUCAUGGGCAAAUACCAGGAAGCUACAAGUCCUGUUUGGAAUUCUGUGCAUCACAAUUUGUGGUGUGCACAGAAUCCCUCGUUGAAUGUUUAAAAGAGUAUAGGGAAUGUCAAGCUAGAUGUGUACCUGAUCCAACCCCAAAACCUGAUGACGAUGAAAAAUACUUCUUGUGGAAAUAAACAGAUAGAAGGUUGAUGAACCAAAAAGGACUUGGGAAUAAUAUUAAUAAUUGGUAGAUAUCUUCAAACAUGUAGAAACAGUAAUAACAUCAUGCAUG